rnacentral:rRNA from 1 species
GACGAACGCUGGGGGCGUGCCUAAUACAUGCAAGUAGAACGCUGAAGCGAGGAGCUUGCUCUUCUUGGAUGAGUUGCGAACGGGUGAGUAACGCGUAGGUAACCUGCCUUGUAGCGGGGGAUAACUAUUGGAAACGAUAGCUAAUACCGCAUAACAAUGGAUGACACAUGUCAUUUAUUUGAAAGGGGCAAUUGCUCCACUACAAGAUGGACCUGCGUUGUAUUAGCUAGUAGGUGAGGUAAUGGCUCACCUAGGCGACGAUACAUAGCCGACCUGAGAGGGUGAUCGGCCACACUGGGACUGAGACACGGCCCAGACUCCUACGGGAGGCAGCAGUAGGGAAUCUUCGGCAAUGGGGGCAACCCUGACCGAGCAACGCCGCGUGAGUGAAGAAGGUUUUCGGAUCGUAAAGCUCUGUUGUAAGUCAAGAACGGGUGUGAGAGUGGAAAGUUCACACUGUGACGGUAGCUUACCAGAAAGGGACGGCUAACUACGUG